rnacentral:rRNA from 1 species
UACGAAGGGUGCAAACGUUGCUCGGAAUCAUUGGGCGUAAAGCGCACGUAGGCGGCUCUGCAAGUCGGAUGUGAAAUCCCUCGGCUCAACCGAGGACGUGCAUCCGGAACUGCGGAGCUUGAGUAUGGAAGAGGGUCGCGGAAUCCCCGGUGUAGAGGUGAAAUUCGUAGAUAUCGGGGGGAACACCAGUGGCGAAGGCGGCGACCUGGGCCAAUACUGACGCUGAGGUGCGAAAGCGUGGGGAGCAAACAGG